rnacentral:tRNA from 5 species
GCCAGGGUAGCUCAGUGGUAGAGCAGGAGACUCAUAAGCUCUUGGUCGGCAGUUCAAAUCUGCCCCUUGGCACCA